GUAAGGUUCAACAUGCUAACAUCCAAGCUUCUAAGGCUGUUGCCGACAUUAUCCGAACUACUCUGGGUCCUCGGUCGAUGUUAAAAAUGCUACUUGAUGCUGCUGGAGGAAUUGUGGUCACCAAUGACGGAAAUGCUAUACUUCGUGAAUUGGAUAUUGCCCAUCCAGCUGCUAAGUCAAUGAUUGAACUUAGCCGCACUCAGGAUGAAGAAGUAGGAGAUGGUACAACAUCUGUCAUUGUUCUCGCUGGUGAAAUGCUUCAUGUUGCGGAAGCCUUCAUCGACAAGAACUUCCAUCCUACUGUUAUCUGUCGAGCCUACAACAAAGCUCUUGAGGAUUCUAUUGCUG
rnacentral:misc_RNA from 1 species